GACAUAUACCAUGUCGUUUCUGUAGCUACAUAAGAUUUUCUUUUCUUUUUUUUCUUUUUUUGUGUAGUACUUUUAGAGCAUAAUUUACAGAGCCAUGAAUUCUCCACCUCUUAUCAUUAGAUGAUAACUUCAACCAUGCACGUGUACUUGCACAAGUGGCCUUAAACUAAACGAGCAAAGAGUGCAUAAGCAUUCUUUUAAUUUUAUCUAUAUC
rnacentral:lncRNA from 1 species